UAGAAAACAAUUUAGUCUCCAAAAAAGACCUCUGGAAGUUCAGGCAAGAGGUCAGAAAAUCAGAGGAGCCAAGGUGGUCUACCCUGGAGCAGGUCUUUGGCCUGCUUGCAGGCUAUUUCAUCUUUUUUUGGGGGGCACCAGAGAGGAGUCCUUCAAAAUAUGCUGGUGACGGAGGUCCAGGAGGCAGAAUUCAAGGUUACCGAGGAUAUCAUAGAGCAAGGACCCAAUGAGCAGCCCACAAACAGCUCCAGCUCCCCGAACCCAAAGUCCAGAAGGCGGCUUUUCAUCUUGGAUUCUUCCUCCUCCUCGUCUGGCUCGGACGUGGAGUUUGUUGAAGAGGGGCACCAUUCAGAUGCUUCAGGGGCUUCAUCUGAGUCCAUACUGCUUCAGUCCACGAGGUGGUAUGCAGCCUCAGUCUGAGUACCACGUCAUUGGCCAGGACCCCUCACCUGGCCAUUCCUAUCUGGGCUGUCCGGUGAGGGUUAGGUCUGAGGAUAUGCCACUUCUUUGAAAUCACUCCUCACCCAGAGUCAAGGUCUGUCAUUUGGACGAGCUCCACCAGCGUCAGCAGUAACCGGUAGAUGCUUGGGCGAUUUCAGAAGACAGCGGUUAUGAGGACGAAGCCCUCUC
rnacentral:lncRNA from 1 species